rnacentral:rRNA from 1 species
GGUUAAGUUAGAAAGGGCGCACGGUGGAUGCCUUGGCACUAGGAGCCGAAGAAGGACGGGACUAACACCGAUAUGCUUUGGGGAGCUGUACGUAAGCGUUGAUCCAGAGAUUUCCGAAUGGGGGAACCCACUAUCUUUAGUCGGAUAGUAUCCUUACGUGAAUACAUAGCGUGAGGAAGGCAGACCCAGGGAACUGAAACAUCUAAGUACCUGGAGGAAGAGAAAGAAAAAUCGAUUUCCUGAGUAGCGGCGAGCGAAACGGAAAGAGCCCAAACCAAGAAGCUUGCUUCUUGGGGUUGUAGGACACUCUAUACGGAGUUACAAAAGAAAGUUAUAAAUGAAGCGGUCUGGAAAGGCCCGCCAAAGACGGUAACAGCCCGGUAGUUGAAAUGGCUUUCCCUCCAGAGUGGAUCCUGAGUACGGCGGAACACGUGAAAUUCCGUCGGAAUCCGGGAGGACCAUCUCCCAAGGCUAAAUACUCCCUAGUGACCGAUAGUGAACCAGUACCGUGAGGGAAAGGUGAAAAGCACCCCGGAAGGGGAGUGAAACAGUUCCUGAAACCGUGUGCCUACAAGUAGUUAGAGCCCGUUAAUGGGUGAUAGCGUGCCUUUUGUAGAAUGAACCGGCGAGUUACGAUUUGUUGCAAGGUUAAGCGGAAAAAGCGGAGCCGUAGCGAAAGCGAGUCUGAAUAGGGCGCAUAAGUAACAGGUCGUAGACCCGAAACCAGGUGAUCUACCCAUGUCCAGGAUGAAGGUAAGGUAAUACUUACUGGAGGUCCGAACCCACGCACGUUGAAAAGUGCGGGGAUGAGGUGUGGGUAGCGGAGAAAUUCCAAUCGAACUUGGAGAUAGCUGGUUCUCUCCGAAAUAGCUUUAGGGCUAGCCUCGAGGUAAAGAGUCAUGGAGGUAGAGCACUGUUUGGACUAGGGGCCCUUCUCGGGUUACCGAAUUCAGAUAAACUCCGAAUGCCAUGUACUUAUACUCGGGAGUCAGACUGCGAGUGAUAAGAUCCGUAGUCGAAAGGGAAACAGCCCAGACCACCAGUUAAGGUCCCCAAAUAUAUGUUAAGUGGAAAAGGAUGUGGGGUUGCUUAGACAACCAGGAUGUUGGCUUAGAAGCAGCCACCAUUGAAAGAGUGCGUAAUAGCUCACUGGUCGAGUGACCCCGCGCCGAAAAUGUACCGGGGCUAAACAUAUUACCGAAACUGUGGAUGAACCUCUUUAGAGGUUCGUGGUAGGAGAGCGUUCUAAGGGCGGUGAAGUCAGACCGGAAGGACUGGUGGAGCGCUUAGAAGUGAGAAUGCCGGUAUGAGUAGCGAAAGAAGGGUGAGAAUCCCUUCCACCGAAUAUCUAAGGUUUCCUGAGGAAGGCUCGUCCGCUCAGGGUUAGUCGGGACCUAAGCCGAGGCCGAUAGGCGUAGGCGAUGGACAACAGGUAGAGAUUCCUGUACCAGUGCUAAUUGUUUAACCGAUGGGGUGACACAGAAGGAUAGGGAAUCGCACGAAUGGAAAUGUGCGUCCAAGCAGUGAGUGUGAGAAGUAGGCAAAUCCGCUUCUCGNNNNNNNNNNNNNNNNNNNNNNNNNNNNNNNNNNNNNNNNNNNNNNNNNNNNNNNNNNNNNNNNNNNNNNNNNNNNNNNNNNNNNNNNNNNNNNNNNCACGAAGCAUGAGCUGUGAUGGGGAAGGAAAUUAAGUACGGAAGUUCCUGAUUUCACGCUGUCAAGAAAAGCCUCUAGGAAGAGUAGUACUGCCCGUACCGCAAACCGACACAGGUAGAUGAGGAGAGAAUCCUAAGGUGAGCGAGAGAACUCUCGUUAAGGAACUCGGCAAAAUGACCCCGUAACUUCGGGAGAAGGGGUGCUCUAUUAGGGUGCAAGCCCGAGAGAGCCGCAGUGAAUAGGCCCAGGCGACUGUUUAGCAAAAACACAGGUCUCUGCAAAACCGUAAGGUGACGUAUAGGGGCUGACGCCUGCCCGGUGCUGGAAGGUUAAGAGGAGUGCUUAGCUUCGGCGAAGGUACGAAUUGAAGCCCCAGUAAACGGCGGCCGUAACUAUAACGGUCCUAAGGUAGCGAAAUUCCUUGUCGGGUAAGUUCCGACCCGCACGAAAGGCGCAACGAUCUGGGCACUGUCUCAACGAGAGACUCGGUGAAAUUAUAGUACCUGUGAAGAUGCAGGUUACCCGCGACAGGACGGAAAGACCCCGUGGAGCUUUACUGCAACCUGAUAUGGAAUGUUUGUACCGCUUGUACAGGAUAGGUAGGAGCCGAAGAGACGUGUGCGCUAGCAUACGAGGAGGCAAUGGUGGGAUACUACCCUGGCUGUAUGACCAUUCUAACCCGCCACGCUUAGCGCGUGGGGAGACAGUGUCAGGUGGGCAGUUUGACUGGGGCGGUCGCCUCCUAAAGAGUAACGGAGGCGCCCAAAGGUUCCCUCAGAAUGGAUGGAAAUCAUUCGCAGAGUGUAAAGGCACAAGGGAGCUUGACUGCGAGACUGACAAGUCGAGCAGGGACGAAAGUCGGGCUUAGUGAUCCGGUGGUUCCGCAUGGAAGGGCCAUCGCUCAACGGAUAAAAGCUACCCCGGGGAUAACAGGCUUAUCUCCCCCAAGAGUCCACAUCGACGGGGAGGUUUGGCACCUCGAUGUCGGCUCGUCGCAUCCUGGGGCUGUAGUCGGUCCCAAGGGUUGGGCUGUUCGCCCAUUAAAGCGGCACGCGAGCUGGGUUCAGAACGUCGUGAGACAGUUCGGUCCCUAUCCGUCGCGGGCGCAGGAAAUUUGAGAGGAGCUGUCCUUAGUACGAGAGGACCGGGAUGGACACACCGCUGGUGUACCAGUUGUUCCGCCAGGAGCAUCGCUGGGUAGCUAUGUGUGGCAGGGAUAAACGCUGAAAGCAUCUAAGCGUGAAGCCCCCCUCAAGAUGAGAUUUCCCAUUUCUUCGGAAAGUAAGAUCCCUGAAAGAUGAUCAGGUAGAUAGGUUUGGAGUGGAAGUGUAGCGAUACAUGGAGCGGACAAAUACUAAUCGAUCGAGGACUUAACCAA